rnacentral:rRNA from 1 species
ACCGGCAAACGGGUGCGGAACACGUACGCAAUCUACCCAAAACUGGUGAAUAGCCCUCCGAAAGGAGGAUUAAUACACCGUAACCUAUUGAAGUGGCAUCACUUUACUAGUAUAGCUCCGGCGGUUUUGGAUGAGCGUGCGGCUGAUUAGGUAGUUGGCGGGGUAACGGCCCACCAAGCCUGCGAUCAGUAACUGGUGUGAGAGCACGACCAGUCACACGGGCACUGAGACACGGGCCCGACUCCUACGGGAGGCAGCAGUAAGGAAUAUUGGUCAAUGGACGCAAGUCUGAACCAGCCAUGCCGCGUGGAGGAUGAAGGCCCUCUGGGUUGUAAACUUCUUUUAUAGGGGACGAAACCCUGGUAUUCUUACCAGAUUGACGGUACCCUAGGAAUAAGCACCGGCUAACUCCGUGCCAGCAGCCGCGGUAAUACGGAGGGUGCAAGCGUUAUCCGGAUUCACUGGGUUUAAAGGGUGCGUAGGAGGGCAGGUAAGUCAGUGGUGAAAUCUCCAAGCUUAACUUGGAAACUGCCGUUGAUACUAUCUGUCUUGAAUAUUGUGGAGGUGAGCGGAAUAUGUCAUGUAGCGGUGAAAUGCUUAGAUAUGACAUAGAACACCAAUUGCGAAGGCAGCUCACUACACAAUCAUUGACUCUGAGGCACGAAAGCGUGGGGAUCAAACAGGAUUAGAUACCCUGGUAGUCCACGCCCU